rnacentral:piRNA from 1 species
UCCAUAUAUAUCUAUUAGGAGAUUGUGCUU